GAUGAACGCUGGCGGCGUGCCUAAUACAUGCAAGUCGAGCGAACAGACGAGGAGCUUGCUCCUCUGACGUUAGCGGCGGACGGGUGAGUAACACGUGGAUAACCUACCUAUAAGACUGGGAUAACUUCGGGAAACCGGAGCUAAUACCGGAUAACAUGUUGAACCGCAUGGUUCAACAGUGAAAGUCGGUCUUGCUGUCACUUAUAGAUGGAUCCGCGCCGCAUUAGCUAGUUGGUAAGGUAACGGCUUACCAAGGCAACGAUGCGUAGCCGACCUAAGAGGGUGAUCGGCCACACUGGAACUGAGACACGGUCCAGACUCCUACGGAAUUCAACAGUAGGGAAACUUCCGCAAUGGGCGAAAGCCUGACGGAGCAACGCCACGUGAGUGAAGAAGGUCUUCGGAUCGUAAAACUCUAUUAUUAGGGAAGAACAAAUGUGUAAGUAACUAUGCACGUCUUGACGGUACCUAAUCAGAAAGCCACGGCUAACUACGUG
rnacentral:rRNA from 1 species